rnacentral:rRNA from 1 species
CCUACGGGCGGCUGCAGUGAGGAAUAUUGGACAAUGGAUGGAAAUCUGAUCCAGCCAUGCCGCGUGCAGGAAGACGGCCCUAUGGGUUGUAAACUGCUUUUGUGUGGGAGCAAUAAGGUCUAUGCGUAGACUGAUGAGAGUACCAUACGAAUAAGCAUCGGCUAACUCCGUGCCAGCAGCCGCGGUAAUACGGGGGAUGCAAGCGUUAUCCGGAUUUAUUGGGGCGUAGGCGUUCGUAGACGGUUUGGGUGAAAUAUUUCGGCUUAACUGAAAGGGUGCCGUUGAUACUGUCAGGCUUGAAUAUGGUUGCGGUGGGUGGAAUGUGUGGUGUAGCGGUGAAAUGCUUAGAUAUCACACAGAAUAUCGAUUGCGAAGGCAGCUCACAAAGCCAUUAUUGACGCUGAUGCACGAAAGUGUGGGGAUCAAACAGGAUUAGAUACCCGAGUAGUC